CUUCUCUCAUCAUCAGCU
rnacentral:miRNA from 1 species